rnacentral:rRNA from 1 species
UACGGAGGGGGUUAGCGUUGUUCGGAAUUACUGGGCGUAAAGCGCACGUAGGCGGCUUUGUAAGUUAGAGGUGAAAGCCCGGGGCUCAACUCCGGGAAUUGCCUUUAAGACUGCAUCGCUAGAAUUGUGGAGAGGUGAGUGGAAUUCCCAGUGUAGAGGUGAAUUCGUAGAUAUGGGAAGAACACCAGUGGCGAAGGCGGCUCACUGGCUCAUUUCCUGACGCUCA